rnacentral:rRNA from 1 species
UACGUAGGGAGCAAGCGUUGUCCGGAAUUAUUGGGCGUAAAGCGCGUGUAGGCGGUUCGAUAAGUCUGCUGUGAAAGUCAGGGGCUCAACCCUUGAAUGCCGGUGGAUACUGUCGAACUAGAGUACGGAAGAGGCGAGUGGAAUUCCUGGUGUAGCGGUGAAAUGCGCAGAUAUCAGGAGGAACACCUAUUGCGAAGGCAGCUCGCUGGGACGUUACUGACGCUGAGACGCGAAAGCGUGGGGAGCAAACAGG